rnacentral:rRNA from 1 species
UCCUANCAUGCAAGUCGAACGCGCAGCGAGAGGUGCUUGCACCUUUCAAGCGAGUGGCGAACGGGUGAGUAACACGUGGAUAACCUGCCUCAAGGCUGGGGAUAACAUUUGGAAACAGAUGCUAAUACCGAAUAAAACUUAGUAUCGCAUGAUAUCAAGUUAAAAGGCGCUACGGCGUCACCUAGAGAUGGAUCCGCGGUGCAUUAGUUAGUUGGUGGGGUAAAGGCUUACCAAGACGAUGAUGCAUAGCCGAGUUGAGAGACUGAUCGGCCACAUUGGGACUGAGACACGGCCCAAACUCCUACGGGAGGCUGCAGUAGGGAAUCUUCCACAAUGGGCGCAAGCCUGAUGGAGCAACGCCGCGUGUGUGAUGAAGGCUUUCGGGUCGUAAAGCACUGUUGUAUGGGAAGAAAUGCUAAAAUAGGGAAUGAUUUUAGUUUGACGGUACCAUACCAGAAAGGGACGGCUAAAUACGUGCCAGCAGCCGCGGUAAUACGUAUGUCCCGAGCGUUAUCCGGAUUUAUUGGGCGUAAAGCGAGCGCAGACGGUUGAUUAAGUCUGAUGUGAAAGCCCGGAGCUCAACUCCGGAAUGGCAUUGGAAACUGGUUAACUUGAGUGUUGUAGAGGUAAGUGGAACUCCAU